rnacentral:tRNA from 1 species
GUCGAAAUAGUUUUAAUUGGUUAAAACGUUUUCUUUGUAAGAAACAGGUACUGGUUCGAGUCCAGUUUUCGGCU